rnacentral:rRNA from 1 species
GACGAACGCUGGCGGCGUGCCUAAUACAUGCAAGUCGAACGAGAGCGACCGGUGCUUGCACUGGUCAAUCUAGUGGCGAACGGGUGAGUAACACGUGGGUAACCUGCCCAUCAGAGGGGGAUAACAUUCGGAAACGGAUGCUAAAACCGCAUAGGUCUUCGAACCGCAUGGUUUGAAGAGGAAAAGAGGCGCAAGCUUCUGCUGAUGGAUGGACCCGCGGUGCAUUAGCUAGUUGGUGAGGUAACGGCUCACCAAGGCCGUGAUGCAUAGCCGACCUGAGAGGGGGAUCGGCCACAUUGGGACGUAGACACGCCCCAAACUCCUGCGGGAGGCAGCAGUAGGGAAUCUGCCGCAAUGGACGCAAGUCUGACGGAGCAACGCCGCGUGAGUGAAGAAGGUGUUCGGAGCGUAAAACUCUGUUGUUAGAGAAGAAUAAGUGCUAGAGUAACUGUUAGCGCCUUGACGGUAUCUAACCAGAAAGCCACGGCUAACUACGUG